UACGGAGGGUGCAAGCGUUAUCCGGAUUCACUGGGUUUAAAGGGUGCGUAGGCGGACAGGUAAGUCAGUGGUGAAAUCUCUGGGCUUAACUCAGAAACUGCCGUUGAUACUAUCUGUCUUGAAUACUGUGGAGGUGAGCGGAAUAUGUCAUGUAGCGGUGAAAUGCUUAGAUAUGACAUAGAACACCAAUUGCGAAGGCAGCUCACUACACAGCCAUUGACGCUGAGGCACGAAAGCGUGGGGAUCAAACAGG
rnacentral:rRNA from 1 species